rnacentral:rRNA from 1 species
UACGGGGGGAGCAAGCGUUGUUCGGAUUUACUGGGCGUAAAGGGCGCGUAGGCGGCCAGCGCAAGUCAGUUGUGAAAUCUCCGGGCUUAACUCGGAACGGUCAACUGAUACUGCGCGGCUAGAGUGCGGAAGGGGCAACUGGAAUUCUCGGUGUAGAGGUGAAAUUCGUAGAUAUUCGCAAGAACACCAGUGGCGAAGGCGGCUCACUGGCCCGGUACUGACGCUGAUGCGCGAAAGCGUGGGGAGCAAACAGG